UUGACUGCGAGACCUACAAGUCGAGCAGGGACGAAAGUCGGGCUUAGUGAUCCGGUGGUUCCGCAUGGAAGGGCCAUCGCUCAACGGAUAAAAGCUACCCUGGGGAUAACAGGCUUAUCUCCCCCAAGAGUCCACAUCGACGGGGAGGUUUGGCACCUCGAUGUCGGCUCAUCGCAUCCUGGGGCUGUAGUCGGUCCCAAGGGUUGGGCUGUUCGCCCAUUAAAGCGGUACGCGAGCUGGGUUCAGAACGUCGUGAGACAGUUCGGUCCCUAUCCGUCGCGGGCGUAGGAAAUUUGAGAGGAUCUGUCCUUAGUACGAGAGGACCGGGAUGGACAUACCGCUGGUGUACCAGUUGUUCUGCCAAGGGCAUCGCUGGGUAGCUAUGUAUGGAUGAGAUAAACGCUGAAAGCAUCUAAGUGCGAAACUCACCUCGAGAUAAGAUUUCCCAUUCCUUUAUGGAAGUAAGACCCCUGAGAGAUGAUCAGGUAGAUAGGAUGGAAGUGGAAGU
rnacentral:ncRNA from 1 species